UACGUAGGGUGCAAGCGUUGUCCGGAAUUAUUGGGCGUAAAGGGUGCGUAGGCGGGUCUUUUAAGUCAGGGGUGAAAUCCUGGAGCUCAACUCCAGAACUGCCUUUGAUACUGAGGAUCUUGAGUUCGGGAGAGGUGAGUGGAACUGCGAGUGUAGAGGUGAAAUUCGUAGAUAUUCGCAAGAACACCAGUGGCGAAGGCGGCUCACUGGCCCGAUACUGACGCUGAGGCACGAAAGCGUGGGGAGCAAACAGGG
rnacentral:rRNA from 1 species